rnacentral:lncRNA from 1 species
UUCAGUGCAGGGAUCGAGCCUAAACGCAACUGGAGCGAAACAGAUUAUUAUUAUCACCAUAAUUCAACGAGUUAGACUAUUCAGUCAAGGUCAGACAUUCACUAUUGCUUGGGGAUGUUAUUAAAAACGAGUCUAUUGGUGGUGGUGACCAUCCUUGUUCUCAAUUCUUCUGCCGAAGUGCCACGAGUUGAUGAUGACAAUACAUUUCGGAUCUCCACGACAUACGGCUACGUGCAUCACUACGGACCUUAUGGUGAUUUGGAUUUGUUGAAUUUAACGACAGUCAGUAAACCCGCUUGCUUUCGUUUCAUAAGUAACAACGUUCUUCAGGAAAUAGUUACUGAGAAAUGUGUCAAUAGAUUGACGGAAAGUAACCGACAACUCAUACUUAGAACGAACUGCAAUGGACCCUUGGCAGACUCAUGGUCUUACGAUGCAACAGAUCAAUAUUUAAUAGAUAUGUCGAUACCUCCUCCGCUUACAUGGUGCUUUAGUCCAUGGAGUUAUGGAUUACCACCUCCCGAUAUUGCCGACGUGCCUGGCGUUUCUCCGUGUUCUGGAUGGAAUCAUGUUGUUUUGGAACCUGGAUGUCCCUGAAGCCAAAGAAAUUUACAAAUAGCAUGAUCAAUGGAUUAUUAAUUUAAAAAACAGUGAUCGACUUUUUUGCAUGAAAUCAUUAAUAACUGGUCAGGAAAUAUCAGUUAUUCUGACUACAAAUUGAGAUGUAAUUUUUAAAAGAAUAUACGGCGAUUUACGGGAAUGGUAUAAUACGAGGAUUCAGGUUUUUUUGACUUUACAACACGAAUAAAUAUAUAGCUUUUUAGCAUGUGAAAUCGUCAUGCCCAGCGAGUGAUGUCAGCCUUUGCCGAAUGACAGUCUUAAUUUCAUGUUUAACCUCAUUUAAUGAAUGUUUAAUUAUCUAAAAGUUGCACCACGGCUACUGUGCUCUAUCAAUAAAGAGAACUGCCUAGACUAGUCUGGAGUAUACUAACGAUAUAUACUAUAGAGUAUAUAACGCGCAUAAACUUGAAACAUCUAUACUCAGAAAAACUUCCGUAGAACUGCAUGCCAAGACCUUUUGAAAUAUUCAAAAAGGCUGCAUGCAAAUAACUAUUUAGACUUGAUGUCUUGGAAUGUUGUUUUAUUUGUAUUUCGCUUAUUUGGGUCAAGAAAUAAUAGUUAAUCAAUAAAGAUGCAUCAUU